rnacentral:piRNA from 1 species
UGAAAGACAAAAACAUAUCAACAGC